rnacentral:piRNA from 1 species
UGGUACACUACGGAAUUGUUGUGCUUUUGU